rnacentral:misc_RNA from 1 species
AAGUCUCUCGAAACUGUCAAAAACUUUGGUAAGAAUGAUUCAAAACGUUGGAAUUCAUCAAUUUUACAGGAAUCCCCACUAUUAAGACUUGUAUUAUCAGGCCCAAGGAAAGCACUACGGUUUGCUGAGAUAAACUCACUAAACCAAGGCAUGUCACUACACAGAUUGUCAACACCACAAUCCAACUUCGCAUUUUCCAUCCCCUGAUUUUCAGUCUCUUUAGCUGCAAUUGUUCCAUUAAAAUGUUCGUGAAAUCCAAAAUCAGAUUCGCUGCUAUUAUUGCCACCUUCCGCAAGCAAUUUCUGGGUCCAUCCACAAAAUUCAGA